rfam:Gorilla gorilla gorilla genomic chromosome, chr20, whole genome shotgun sequence
GCUGGGCAUGGUGGCAUACGCCUGCAGUCCUAGGUACUCAGGAGGCUGAGGCAGGAGGAUUGCUUGAGCUCAGGAGUUCAAGGCUGCAGUGAGCUAUGAUCGCACCACUGUACUCUAGCCUGGGUGACAGAGCAAGACCUUGUCUCUU